GUGAGGAAUAUUGGUCAAUGGUCGCAAGACUGAACCAGCCAUGCCGCGUGCAGGAAGACGGUCCUAUGGAUUGUAAACUGCUCUUAUACAGGAAGAAACCCUCCCACGUGUGGGAGCUUGACGGUACUGUAGGAAUAAGGAUCGGCUAACUCCGUGCCAGCAGCCGCGGUAAUACGGAGGAUCCAAGCGUUAUCCGGAAUCAUUGGGUUUAAAGGGUCCGUAGGCGGUCUUAUAAGUCAGUGGUGAAAGCCCAUCGCUCAACGAUGGAACUGCCAUUGAUACUGUAAGACUUGAAUGCUUAGGAAGUAACUAGAAUAUGUAGUGUAGCGGUGAAAUGCUUAGAUAUUACAUGGAAUACCAAUUGCGAAGGCAGGUUACUACUAAGUGAUUGACGCUGAUGGACGAAAGCGUGGGGAGCGAACAGGAUUAGAUACCCCGGUAGUCC
rnacentral:rRNA from 1 species